GCGACUUCGUUGUGCAAUCGACGAUUCCCCGACUACCGACCGACCCCAACAUCAUCGCUAUUCGCUCUUUUAUUCAUCUCUAUAGCCAAUCCGCCCCAAAUCCUCUCGUCGUCUUUAUUCUCCCCUCUUGUCGCCUCCGAUCGAUGAUGCUGAAGCGCAGGAAGCUCCGGAUACCCCAAUCAGGAGGGUGACAUCGCUACGGGACGACGAUCCAUGGAGGCCGCGGCACCGAGGGCGCCGCCUCUGUGCCCUUGCGCAUGCCCCAUCUGCUGCUUGCUCCUCUCCGAAUGGCGCCGAUCCGUGAAGCGCAGGGCCGAACCUAAUGCGUUGUAGGCUGCGGCAGCCUCGUUGGGCGUAAACGCUAAGCUGAAUCCUCUUUAGUCGGCCUAAUAUAAAGUUCUUCGGACAACGAGACGCUUGGUUAGAUUAUGUGGAGGACAACAGGAUGGUGGGGAGGAAGAUAUGUCGGAUCUGGUGGCCGGAUAGGCCCCUCGUCGUCGAGCGCACGUCGAGCCUUUUGCUGUUCGGAUGGUUCAUAACCUGUGAGAGUUCGGGACCUGUUGAUGUCGUUGUCGCUGCUGCGAUUCCUCCGCACUCCAUCUCACUGUUUCUUCCACAAUCCGAUGAUCUUCAGGUAAUUCAGAUUCGGACGCUUACAACUUGUAUUAUGUUAUUUUUUUCUCUUCUUUCGGUUUUUGGACCCCUCUUUGGUCAGCAUUCUUUGACAUCAUUCUCGUAUAUAUGCUUUACUCCUUGUUUGCACAUUUCGCCGACGGUGCAGAAAGGCAUAUAGUUGGCGUUCGGAAACAAUAUUUGACAUGUUGUUGAUGCCUUGAUGUCGCUUACUAAGUCGCAUGACGUGAUGUUGGGUAUUUGUACGCACUAGAAGAUUUUCUACUCAUUUUUAUCCUUUAGUGUUUCUUUGUUUCAGGUCUAGGUUGUGGCCACUUCCACAACCACUUGCAGCAACUAAAAGCUGAUUUUCUGGUGUGCGACUUUUGCAUGUAGUGUCCAGCAGCUUAUUUUGGCUUAUUGCCGUAGCUAAAUGCUGAAGACACUUUAUUUUCCAAAUGCUUAACUUCUACUUCUCGAGUAAAGAGGUAUUCCGAACACCAAGCCAAACAGACUCCAAGGCCCUAUUAGUCCUGCUGGAGCUUUCAACAAAAUUGUUGUUCGAGUAGAGAGGGCUGUUCAAAAAGGCAGACAGUUGCUUUUUUAUUGAAGUUUCCUCCAAGUCCUCUGACCUAUAAAAGAUGUAGAAGUUUCAAAUUAGACUUCUAAUGUUGAGGCUAGUAUGUCAUUUUAGUUCUCGUUGCAGCUGAAACCCCAGAGCUUCUAUUUGCUGUAUGCGUAAUUGUCUCUUCUAGGAAUGGAAAAGCUGUCCCAAAACAAGCCAAAGAAGCAACAAGCCAAAGAAGCAUUGUGAAUAAUAGCCUUUCCAUUUUCAAAGCUAAACAAUUCAAAUGUACGUGGAUGUUCAAAAUUUUAAAUGCCGUUGCUUGAUCUCCAAGAUCUGUAAAUGCCUUCUUCUUCUCUCCUGUUGAGGGUUUGCUUUAUGUAGUCUAGA
rnacentral:lncRNA from 1 species